UCGUCAGCUCGUGCCGUGAGGUGUCGGCUUAAGUGCCAUAACGAGCGCAACCCCUCUCUCCGGUUGCCAUCAGGCAAUGCUGGGCACUCCAGAGACACUGCCGCCGCAAGGUGUGAGGAAGGUGGGGAUGACGUCAAAUCAGCACGGCCCUUACGUCCGGGGCUACACACGUGUUACAAUGGCCGGUACAGAGCGUCGGAGGCCCGCAAGGUCCUUCUAAUCGUGAAAUCCGGUCCCAGUUCGGACUGGGGUCUGCAACCCGACCCCACGAAGCUGGAUUCGCUAGUAAUCGCGCAUCAGCCAUGGCGCGGUGAAUACGUUCCCGGGCCUUGUACACACCGCCCGUCAAGCCAUGAAAGCCGGGGGUGCCUGAAGUCCGUGACCGCAAGGAUCGGCCUAGGGCUUUAACAGGGUGAUUGGGGCUAAGUCGUAACAAGGUAACCGUA
rnacentral:rRNA from 1 species